GAUGAACGCUGGCGGCGUGCCUAAUACAUGCAAGUCGAGCGAACAGAUGAGGAGCUUGCUCCUCUGACGUUAGCGGCGGACGGGUGAGUAACACGUGGGUAACCUACCUAUAAGACUGGGAUAACUUCGGGAAACCGGAGCUAAUACCGGAUAAUAUAUGGAACCGCAUGGUUCUAUAGUGAAAGACGGUUUUGCUAUCACUUAUAGAUGGAUCCGCGCCGUAUUAGCUAGUUGGUAAGGUAACGGCUUACCAAGGCAACGAUACGUAGCCGACCUGAGAGGGUGAUCGGCCACACUGGAACUGAGACACGGUCCAGACUCCUACGGGAGGCAGCAGUAGGGAAUCUUCCGCAAUGGGCGAAAGCCUGACGGAGCAACGCCGCGUGAGUGAUGAAGGUUUUCGGAUCGUAAAACUCUGUUAUUAGGGAAGAACAAAUGUGUAAGUAACUGUGCACGUCUUGACGGUACCUAAUCAGAAAGCCACGGCUAACUACGUG
rnacentral:rRNA from 1 species